rnacentral:rRNA from 1 species
GAUGAACGCUGGCGGUAUGCCUAACACAUGCAAGUCGUACGAGAGUUUUUAACUCUAGUGGCGGACGGGUGAGUAACACGUGAGAAUUUGCCUUUAGGAGGGGGAUAACAAUUGGAAACGAAUGCUAAUACCCCAUAUGCUUUUGAGUGAAAUGGAUUUUAUCCGCCUAGAGAGAAGCUCGCGGCUGAUUAGCUUGUUGGUAAGGUAAGAGCUUACCAAGGCGACAAUCAGUAUCUGGUUUGAGAGGACGAUCAGACACACUGGAACUGAGACACGGUCCAGACUCCUACGGGAGGCAGCAGUGGGGAAUUUUCCGAAUGGGCGAAAGCCUGACGGAGCAAUACCGCGUGAGGGAAGAAUGCCUAUGGGUUGUAAACCUCUUUUUUACUAGGGAGGAAUCAAAUGACGUGUACCUGAAGAAUAAGACAUCGGCUAACUCCGUGCCAGCAGCC